CAAACAAUAUAAAAACAAUGUAAAAUGUGGCAACACUACAUGCAGCUGUCAUAGCAUGGAAAGCUUUGGAGUUUCCUAAGUGUCUUCUGGCCAUUUAACACAGGGUGGAUUAAUAACCUUUCCAGGGUCUCUGUAAAUCUCACCAUAAUGUGGAAGAAGUACAUAUAUCUGUGAAAUAGUUUCAUUUCAGGAAAGUAUAUUUUAAUUCCAUCUGAUGUUUUUUGAACCAGAAGCAAUGCAGUCAAAAAGAAGCUUUACCCAAAGGAAGGAGGUUUAACAUCUUAAGUUCAUAUGGCUAUUCAUGAAGAGGAGCAGCAAGUGAUAGACCUGCA